AGCUAAGAAAGAGACUGUAAUUUCUCUGAGGGGAAAAGUAAGGGAGAAGCUGUCAAAAAUUGCUAAUUACAGCGGGGAGAAUUUGAGGUAGAAGGAGUACCAUCAUCUCUUUUGCCUCUGAAGCCCCUUUUAAAGAUGAAUAGCUUGGAAUUAAAACAGCUCAUGGACAGCGCUGUAUCAAUCAAGAGGAUAUCUGCAACACA